CAGAAAACAAGAAGCUGACCCAACAGGAAGUCUCCUGAUCUUGCCCAGUUUCCAGACCGAAGUCAUUUCUCAGUUACAGCAUCUACAGACAGAGAGUCCAGAGCCCCAUGAAGAAAGACUCUACCACAGUGUGUACGGUAAUUCUCCCUCCGACCUUCCUUAAAGGGACCUCCAGAAAUUACUCAGGUUUUGCCAUGUUGCCCAGGCUGGUCUCAAACUCCUGGCCCCAAGGGAUCCAUCCACCUUGUGUAAGACUGGAGCUGACAUCCAUCCAUCAGUCUUGUGUAAGACUGGAGCUGACAUUCACACCGUAGGCUGGGCCUCCCAGUUAUGACUGCUUUGCUGUCUCACUUACUGCAUGUUAUCCCAUCCUUCUGGAUGUGUGGCAAUCCUCGCCACGUGGCAAGGGCACAGCUGGCUAAACUGGCAGCUAUGCUUUGGAGCUCAUGACAGAUGUCUAUCGAGAGUAAAGAUGAGGAGAUUUAUUAGAAAACUAUCAAGAUUUUGGAGUGUGUUGGUCACUUUUGGAAGCCUUGAAAGGUCUUGCCUGACUCUCCCUCCCCAGGGUCAGAAGCAGAGCCCUAGAGAAAAGCCAGUGAGCCUAAGGGGGGCGGGUGUUAAUGGUAGAAACCCUCACAUCUGUGCCAGGCUCAGGUUCAGAGACCAACACACAAAAUGCUAUAGGCUUCUUAUACCUUCCCUAGAAAUUAAAGCCAAAAUGUCUAGCAACCCAAUCGGGUUUCAAGGAAGCUGAAGAACCUUGUAUUAGUAUGUUCUCACACUGCUAAUAAAGACAUACCUGAGACUGGGUAAUUUAUAAAGGAAAGAGGUUUGAUGGACUCACAGUUCCACAUGGCUGGGGAGGCCUCACAGUCAUGGCGGAAGGUGAAAGGCAUGCCUUACAUGGUGGCAGCAGGCAAAGAGAGAAUGAGAGCCAAGUACAAAGGGAAAGCCCUUAUAAAACCAUCAGAUCUCGUGAGACCUAUUCACUAACACGAGAACAGUAUGAGGGAAACCACCCCCAUGAUUUAAUUAUCUCCCACCAGGUCCCUCUCACAAUACAUGGGAAUUAAGGAAGCUACAAUUCAAGAUGAGAUUUGGAUGGGGACACAGCCAAACCAUAUCAAACAUUUACUAGGCCUGAGAAAAAGUGGCUUAUAUUUGCUGACUCCCUCAGGUGGGUCCUGAUCACGCAAGGUACCAACAACAGAGAAUGGGCUACCAAGCCUGAGCAAGCUUCAAAAGAGAAAAACCUCCUGAGUGCUGUUCUCACACAUGACCAUGGGAGGAAUAUGUAAGGCACAGACUUCUGGGGCUGCUAGAUGGGUUAACCAGGAUGCUCGUCCGCAUGCCUGGAUCGGGGACCUCCCAACUCUAUUCCUGUCUUUGACAUCAGAUCAAUGUGGGUAGAAAUUAACAAGUCUCCUUGCAAAAUAAAAUAUAUAUAUAUUUGAAAUUAAAACAUUAAAUCAUAAAUGAGUGUAAUUUAUUGAAAGAAUAGCACAAUACAAGGGAAUCUAUUAAUACGAUUUGAAAUAUUAAAAAAAUAAUCAAUCAUACAAUCCUCUCUUUGGUCCCUUAAAUAA
rnacentral:lncRNA from 1 species